UGGCGGAGUAGAGUAAUGGUAACUCAUCGGUUUCAUAAGCCGAGCAAUGUUGGUUCAAAUCCAAUCUCCGCAA
rnacentral:tRNA from 1 species